GACGAACGCUGGCGGCGUGCUUAACACAUGCAAGUCGAACGAGUGGCGAACGGGUGAGUAAUACGUGGGUAACCUGCCCUCUUUUUGGGAUAAGCCUUGGAAACGGUGUCUAAUCCCGAAUAAGGGUGGAUGGGCUCCGGGCCUAUGAGCUUGUUGGGGGGGUGCUGGCCUACCAAGGCGGUGACGGGUAGCCGGCCUGAGAGGGUGACCGGCCACAUUUGGACUGAGACACGGCCCAGACUCCUACGGGAGGCAGCAGUGGGGAAUAUUGGAAAAUGGGCGAAAGCCUGAUGCAGCCAUGCCGCGUGUAUGAAGAAGGCCCUAGGGUUGUAAAGUACUUUCGGUCGAGAGGCGGUACCGACAGAAUAAGCACCGGCUAACUACGUGCCAGCAGCCGCGGUAAUUC
rnacentral:rRNA from 1 species